GACGAACGCUGGCGGCGUGCUUAACACAUGCAAGUCGAGCGGAGCGGCGGACGGGUGAGUAACGCGUGAGUAACUGCCCCCCUCUCUGGGAUCACAGUUGGGAACGGCAGCUAAUACCGAAAAGUGGGGGAUGACUCGGGUGCUAUCGGCUUGUGGGCGGGGUAGUGGCAUACCAAGGCGAGGACGGGUAGCCGGCCUGGGAGCGGGACCGGCCACAUUGGGCUGAGAUACGGCCCAAACGGGUACGGGCGGCAGUGGUGGGGAAUAUUGCCCAAUGGGGCAACCCCUGAUGAAGAAACGCGCGUGCGGAAGGAUGGCUUGCGGGUUGAAAACCGCGUUCAGCCAUGACGCGGUAGUGGCAGAAGAAGCACCGGCUAACUACGUGCCAGCAGCCGCGGUAAUAC
rnacentral:rRNA from 1 species